CGCCUGUGAAGCAAGGAUUUUGUUGGGAAGUGCUUGCAGAGGCUCCAAUAGGGUUGUGUGGUCUCCAGGUUCCAACUUAGGCGAUAACGCUGAAAAUAAAAACACUCCUA
ncrna:unclassified sequences drum RNA